AUUCAGCCCAAGCGGGGAAGGAUGAGAAGCUUCGACUAAGGUUCGACUCGAGCGCCAGCGAGAGAGCGUUGCCGCAGGCAACGACCCGAAGGGCGAAGCGCGCAGCGCUGAGUAAUCCUUCCCCCACCACCA
rnacentral:sRNA from 1 species